rnacentral:rRNA from 1 species
CCUACGGGCGGCAGCAGUCGAGAAUCAUUCACAAUGGGGGAAACCCUGAUGGUGCGACGCCGCGUGGGGGAAUGAAGGUCUUCGGAUUGUAAACCCCUGUCAUGUGGGAGCAAAUUAAAAAGAUAGUACCACAAGAGGAAGAGACGGCUAACUCUGUGCCAGCAGCCGCGGUAAUACAGAGGUCUCAAGCGUUGUUCGGAAUCACUGGGCGUAAAGCGUGCGUAGGCUGUUUCGUAAGUCGUGUGUGAAAGGUGCGGGCUCAACCCGCGGACGGCACAUGAUACUGCGAGACUAGAGUAAUGGAGGGGGAACCGGAAUUCUCGGUGUAGCAGUGAAAUGCGUAGAUAUCGAGAGGAACACUCGUGGCGAAGGCGGGUUCCUGGACAUUAACUGACGCUGAGGCACGAAGGCCAGGGGAGCGAAAGGGAUUAGAUACCCUAGUAGUC